UUCAAGGUCCUCUAUCCCCA
rnacentral:tRNA from 1 species